AUUCCGUUUUGUUUUUCCCGCUGCCCAAGAUGGUGAGUGACGUUUCCUUUUGCUACACCGUAUCCGGGUCCCGACUUCAUCCGCUGCCAUCCUCCUCCAGGCGCGGCCUCACAGGGCCUCCUGCUCCGCCUAGCUCUAGGAGAGCCGUACCCGGUGUGGCACGGAGACACUGAGACGGACUAAAGCCCUGGGCGGCCGGAAGCGGGAUGCGCUGGUCCCGCUGCCGCUGGGCUGGAGGAGGGGGGCCGGGAGCGCCGCGGCGCGGGGCUCGGACGGGGCGGAGGCGCUCGGAGCACUAGGGAGCGGCGCCUGGUUUUUCUCAGGGCCGCCGCAGAGCCUUUGACCAACGAGUUCCGAGCCGCACCUGCUGCUUGUGGAGCCUGCGGGGCCGCGGCUCGGGCGUCCUGGGUCCCGUCCGGGGCGUCUGCUCCGUGGGCGACGCGAAGAGCGCGUGGCGUUGGCCUUAGCCGGGCUCCGGCCACUCGGGCUCCGUGCGCUGCGUGCUCGUGCGGCCCGUGGGAGACGCUCCUGCCGAGGCAUGGCGAGGACGUUCCCGGCAACCAAGGCCGCGGCUGCACAGGCUGGGGGGGCGCCGGGGGGCUUCAGCACGCAGCUCGCCCGCCUGGUUCGGCCAGGGGCCGUCGGCGCCCCUUGUUUCGAAGGCGCCAGCCUGAGACCUCCCGACGAAGGAGGCGGCGGUUUAACCGGGAUUUUCUUUGUGUCCAGCCGAAAGGAGAGAAGGCCAAGGGGGAGGAGGUGGCUCCGGCCCCUGCUGUCGUGAAGAAGCAGGAGGCCGAGAAAGUGGCGAAUCCCGUGUUUGAGCACAGGCCGAAGAAUUGCGGUAUCGGACGGGCCGUCCAACCGAAAAGAGACCUCACCCACUUUUUGAAAUGGCCCAGCUGUAUCAGGUUGCCGCGGCAGAGAGCCAUCCUUUAUAAGGGCUGAAAGCGCCUCCUGCCGUUAACCAGCUCACCCAGGCCCUGGACCGCCAAACAGCGAUCUAGCAUUUACAUUAACUGUUAAGGAGUAGAACCUUGACUACAAACCUAAACUGGAGUGUUUUCCCAGCUACUGAGCUGCUAAAGCUGGCCCAGAAGUAUAGGCCAGAGAGCGCAAGAAAAAAAGCAGAGGGUGUUGGCCCCGGGCCGAGAAGAAAGCUGCCGGCAAAGGAGAUGUCCCCAUCAAGAGACCGCCUGUCCUUCGAGCGGCUGGUAGUCUUCUUGCCUGCCCUGUGUCAGAAAAUGGGAGUCCCUUAUUGUACUAUCAAGGGGAAGGCAAGACUGGGACGUCUCCUCCACAGGAAGAUCUGCACCAUUGUCGCAUUUACCCUAGUUAAUAAGGAAGACAAAGGCGCCUUGGCUGAGCUGGUGGGAGCUGUCAGGACAGACUGCAGUGACAGAUAGGAUGAGGUAAGAGCAGCUUCACACAAAAUACUGUCAUGUGCUAAUCUUUUUCCCAAACAACUGGCUGGCUUAACGUAUGAGCAGUUCUAUUUGGUGAUCAGCUUGGAACAGCCCAACAGAACCAUGCAGUAACCUUGAAAAUCUCAGAAAACAAGAGGCUAAGCUGACUCCCUCUUUUUGUGUUUUCAGAUUCGCCGUCACUGGGGAGGUAAUGUCCUGGGUCCCAAGUCUGUGGCUCACAUCGCCAAGCCUGGAAAAAGGAAAGGCCAAAGAACUUGAAAGUGAUUCGGGGUGAAAUGUACAUAGUGGAGUUUGCUGUAAAUAAAAAUAAUUUAAAUGAUACAAAUUUUUCCUUCAGCCGAUGUCUGUUGGUAUCUUGGGUUGAAUCUUACUUGGGGUUAGCAAGUAUCUUUUUUUUGCGGGGGAGUGGGGGGAGAAGG